rnacentral:rRNA from 1 species
AACGAACGCUGGCAGCAUGCCUAACACAUGCAAGUCGAACGAGACCUUCGGGUCUAGUGGCGCACGGGCGCGUAACGCGUGGGAACCUGCCCUUAGGUUCGGAAUAACUCCCCGAAAGGGGUGCUAAUACCGGAUAAUGUCUUCGGACCAAAGAUUUAUCGCCUUUGGAUGGGCCCGCGUUGGAUUAGCUAGUUGGUAGGGUAAAAGCCUACCAAGGCGACGAUCCAUAGCUGGUCUGAGAGGAUGAUCAGCCACACUGGGACUGAGACACGGCCCAGACUCCUACGGGAGGCAGCAGUGGGGAAUAUUGGACAAUGGGCGAAAGCCUGAUCCAGCAAUGCCACGUGAGUGAUGAAGGCCUUAGGGUUGUAAAGCUCUUUUACCCGGGAUGAUAAUGACAGUACCGGGAGAAUAAGCUCCGGCUAACUCCGUG